rnacentral:rRNA from 1 species
UGCGUAGGUGGCUUGGCAAGUCAGAUGUGAAAUCCCCGGGCUUAACUCGGGUGCUGCAUUUGAAACUGCUGAGCUUGAGUGCAGGAGAGGAAAGCGGAAUUCCUAGUGUAGCGGUGAAAUGCGUAGAUAUUAGGAGGAACACCAGUGGCGAAGGCGGCUUUCUGGACUGUAACUGACACUGAGGCACGAAAGCGUGGGGAGCAAACA